GAUCAGUGAUGAAAACUAGCCAAAUAUGAGAAUCAGGAGACCUUGUGGUCCUUGUGGUGUGUGAUCUGUAUGUUCUUCUGAGA
rnacentral:snoRNA from 1 species